ensembl:lncRNA
CCCUGAUGUGGCCAUGCCUACCCUGGCCUGGCCUAACACAGGUCCAGCCCAGCUGCCCCCGCCUCCUUCACAGGAGAGCUGCACCAGGGACCCAUCUUCAUGCUGGUUGGCACCCUCAUCUCCAUCAUAGCCUUCUUUUCUUGGACACUGAUCUGGACCAAGCAAAGCAGGGACUCUCUGAACCCUUUCCAGCAGCUCUGCGGGCCAGCAUCGCAGAGGGACGAGAACCCGGCCGAGACAUGGGCUGGACAAUGAGCCGGCGGCCGCUGGACUGAUUUCGGUCGCUGGCAGCGCAGGCCAGGCCAAGCCAG